AAUAGAAGGAAAAUAAUUAGCUGGGUGUGGUGGUGCGCCUGUAGUCCCAGUACUCCAGAAGCUGAGGCAGGAUGACGCCAGAGCACUGUAGCCCCCAAACCUGAUAGAACUGAACGGGAAAAAGACACCCUUUCUCAGAAACAGAACUAGACUUUUAAAGUCAGCAAGGAUAAUGAAUUUCCAAUGACAAUAUCAACCGUCUUAACCUAAUAGACAUUUAUAGAAUACGUUCCCAACGGCAGGAGAGAAAGAAAAAAGCAGACAGGAAGGGUGGGAUGAAGAAAGACAGCGAGAGCGCGAGCGCACACCAGUGGCCUAGGUCCUGCUCCAGGUUCUUAGGGGUAUUUUUAUUGAGCACCUGAUGUAUGGCCACACCCUCCUAGGGUGUAUACACUGAGCACUUGCUGUGUGGUCAGUAUAUUAGGUGGCUACUGGUGCCAAGACUUGUUUCUAAUCCCGAUAGGACCGCCUCAGCGACAAACACAAAGCCGAACUCCAGGGGCCCGCCUGGUCCAGCCCCGCGCGGCCUCCGAAGCCCGCGCGCGCCAACACCCUCUCGCCGGCAGCGCUGCGCAUGCGCACUCCGCGCGGCCCUCCCGCCCGCGGACUACAUCUUCCACAGGCCUCCGCGCGCAGUUUCUUUCCGGCUUCCUCGCUGGUGUCGGCUCCGAGAGGUGAGUUGGUCGCGUGCACUGAGGCAAUGGGCGCGGGGACGGCGCGGCCCUCCGCGUGAGUCGAGUGACGGCGACUGUGGAGUUUGUGGCGCUGACGGGGCAUCGGGCGCCCUGCCGCGUCCUCUGCUCUCCGGCGUCAGCGCUGCACGGUCCGGCGGCCCGGAAUGGCUCCGAGUUAGAGGCACGAGCCCGAGCGGAGGGGCCCUAAACAAAAAGACGCAGCCUGAGAACAACUGCAGGUCUCAGCAGCACAGCGUCCUCCCGGGGACACGGAGGUGAACUCGGAGGCAGAGUCCAGCCCGGUCUUCGUGCACUCUGGCCUUUCUCUCGGACACCGGGAAUGGUCAGCUUCUUUCCAGGCUCCCUCUCGUUUUCUCUGCUUUGGCUUGUCUGGAUUCUGUAGUUCUCCAAUAAAGAAGUCUUGAAAAAUACUGAGCAGUUCUUACAGUUCUAAAACCAUGGCCCAUAGUUCUGUAACAUUCAGGGAUGUGGCCAUAGACUUCUCACAGGAAGAAUGGGAAUUCCUGGACCCAGCUCAGAGGGACUUAUAUCGGGAUGUAAUGUGGGAGAACUAUAGCAACUUCAUCUCACUAGCAGGACCUUCCAUUUCUAAACCAGAUGAAAUUACCUUAUUGGAUGAAGAAGGAAAGGAACCCGGGAUGCUUGUGAGGGAAGGGACAAGAAGAUACUGCCCCGGUGAUUUGGAAUCCAGAUAUAGGACCAAUACUUUAUCUCCAGAAAAGGACAUUUAUGAAAUAUGUUCAUUCCAAUGGGAUACAAUGGAAAGAAUUAAAAGCUAUAGCCUUGAGGGCUCCAUUUUUAGAAAUGAUUGGGAAUGCAAAAGCAAGAUUGAGGGGCAAAAGGAACCACAAGAGGGAUAUUUUGGGGAAGUCAAAAUUACCUCUGAAAAAAUGACCACUUACAAAAAGCACAAUUUUCUUGCUGACUAUCAGAUAGUUCAUAAUGGAGAAAAGUUAUAUGAAUGUAAGGAAUGUAGGAAAACCUUCAUUCGUCGCUCAACACUUAGUCAACACCUGAGAAUUCAUACUGGUGAGAAACCUUAUAAAUGUAAGGAAUGUGGGCAGGCCUUUAGACAGCGUGCACACCUUAUCCGACAUCACAAACUUCAUACUGGUGAGAAACCCUACGAAUGUAAGGAAUGUGGGAAGGCCUUUACAGUGCUCCAAGAACUUACGCAACAUCAGAGACUUCAUACUGGUGAAAAGCCCUAUGAAUGCAAGGAAUGUGGAAAGUCCUUUAGAGUACAUCAGCAACUGGCUCGACAUCAGAGAAUUCACACUGGUGAAAAACCCUAUGAAUGUAAGGAAUGUGGAAAGACCUUUAGACAAUGUACACACCUUACUCGACAUCAGAGACUUCAUACAUCUGAGAAACUCUAUGAAUGUAAGGAAUGUGGGAAAGCCUUUGUAUGUGCUCCAGACCUUAGAGUACAUCAGAAAAUUCAUUUUGGUGAGAAACCUUAUGAAUGUAAGGAAUGUGGAAAGGCUUUUAGAAUAUGCCAACAACUUACUGUCCAUCAGAGUAUUCAUACUGGUGAGAAACCAUAUGAAUGUAAGGAAUGUGGGAAAACUUUUAGAUUAAGGCAACAACUUGUUCGCCAUCAAAGAAUUCAUACUCGUGAGAAACCCUAUGAAUGUAUGGAAUGUUGGAAGACCUUCAGUAGUUACUCACAACUUAUUUCACAUCAGAGCAUUCAUAUUGGUGAGAGACCUUAUGAAUGUGAAGAAUGUGGAAAGGCUUUUAGGUUGCUCUCACAGCUUACUCAGCAUCAGAGUAUUCAUACUGGUGAGAAACCUUAUGAAUGCAAGGAAUGUAGAAAACCUUUUAGACUGCUCUCACAACUGACUCAGCAUCAGAGUAUUCAUACUGGUGAGAAACCUUAUGAAUGUAAGGAAUGUGGUAAGGCUUUUAGACUUUACUCAUUUCUUACUCAACACCAGAGAAUUCACACUGGUGAGAAACCUUAUAAAUGUAAGGAAUGUAAGAAGGCCUUUAGACAACAUUCACACCUUACUCAACAUCAGAAGAUUCAUAAUGGAAUUUAAUACAAGAAAGCCUUCAAAUGUACAUUAUGUUACAAAACAUCUCAAAAUUCAUUUUUUGAGAAAAUUUGUGCUCAAAACUAAACAUAAGAAAUUUUAUAUUAAAGAGAGAAUACAUUGCUUUAAAAGCCUUCUGUCACCAUUUAAACACUAUUUUCAGCAAAUUCCUAUGAAAUAUUAAUGUAAUGAAUGUAGUAAAAUCUUUAGCCUUAUCUAUCAUUAUCUCCAUUUCACUAUUUUAUUACCAGUAUGAUAUUGUUAGACAAGAUACUUAAACUUUUGUGCCUCAUUUUGCUCACUUGUAAAAUGGUAAUAGUACUUAUGCAUUAGUUAUUUAUUGCUGUGUAAUAAAUUACCACAAACUUAGUAGCUUAAAAUAAUACACACUUAAUAUCAUAAUUUCUAUGGAUCAGGAAUCCAAGCAUGACUUAGUUGGGUCUUCUGCUUCAGGGUCUGUCACAAGGUCUCUGUUACAAAGUUUUAGCUAGGGCUGAGGUCUCAUCUGAAGGGUUGAAUAGGAAAGGAUCCACAUUCAAGCUAAUAUUGUUGCUCGAAUUCAUUUCCUUGAGGCCUGUUUUACUGAGAUUCUCGGUUUCUAGCUGGCUGUUGGCUGAAGGCUGACUCUACAGUUCCUUGCUGCAGUGGUCUCAUCAGCUUGGCUGUUUGCUUCAUCAAGGCAUACAAGCCAAGAAUGUGAUAGAAUCUGCCAACAAGAUGGAAGUUACAAUAUUGUGUAAUCUAAUCAUGGACGUGACAUCCUAUCACCUUUGCUGUCUUCUGGUCAAAAAUAUGGAGAUGGCACCACAAGGAAGAGGCCAAUCAGAUCCAGAAUGUAUACAAUUCUACAGAACAAAUGACCUGUUUUCUUCAACUAAUGAGUGACAUAAAAAAAAAAGGAAGGACAACAACCAUUAUCAGAUUAAAAGGGACUUAAGAGACAUCAACUAAACUUAGUAUGUAGGCAUUACUUGGACCUGGUUUGAACAAAACAGAAGACAUUUUGGAGACAGUAUGGGAAAUGUGGACAGGGACUGCAUAUUAAGUGAUAUUUAGAAAUAUUAAUUCUGUUAGGCAUAAUGUCAAUGUGUUUAUAAAAAAAAAAUCUUAUCUGUUAGGCUUACAUGCUUACAUAUGAAAUAAUAUGUAUCAGAUUUGCAUUAAAAUAGUCCAGCAAAAGAAAAAUAAUUGGCAAAAAAUGCUGGAAACUAGAUUGGUAAAAUGUUGAUAAUUAUUGGAGUGGUUUGUUCAUGAGAGUUCACUGUUCUAAUAUUCCUACUUUUGUAUGUGCUUGAAAUUUCAGUAAUAAAAUAUCUAAAAUCAAAACCAAAAUUAUAGACUACUUAGAAAUGGAUGCCAGCAUAUCUAACCUUAUCAGAUGUCACCAAAGUUCUAUGGGAAAUUAAUGCCCUUUAAUGCACUAAGGAAAUUUCACUUGUGGAUCCAGUCCUCAUCUUCACUUAUGCACAGUGCCAACACAGGGUCUGUUGUAUAGAUGAAUGUGUUGAAGGAAUGAAUAAGCAUUUGUGUCAAGAAACAGUACAAAAUAAACACAAGUAAAGAGAAGCCAAGUAGAGUAAAAAGUAGAAAUUAAAAGAAUAGACAAUAGGAGACUUGAUCCAAUAUUAAUAAUGACUAGAUUUUGGCAGGUCUAAUUACAGAAAAUAAAAUGAAAGAUAAUAUAUUUAGAGCAUUAACAAUGAUAAGAUACAACUAUAGAUUGAUUAUCAAGGAGAUAUUUUUAAAAAAUAAGGUAAUACUAUACACACACAUGCACAAACAUAUAUUCAUUCCAGUACAUGUAGAAAUUUGGAGGGAUUAUAUUUUUUCUAUAAGAAUGUUACUGUAAUUGACGCAAUGCUGUAAAACCCAAAUAGAUUAACAAAUGUGUGUGCAUAUGUGUAAAUUCUCUAUUAAAGAAAAAAUCUGAUACUUGUGCAGGUGAAAGCUUUAAGGAAUAGAUAAUCCUUAACAAGGUUUUACCAGUUAAUUCUGCAAAGCUAAAAUAAUCCUAAUAACGAACUGGAUGAAAUAGCUUCUAAAAAGCAAAAUCCAGACCAGUUUUAUUUAUGAAGAUUCUGUUCUUCAUGAUUCUAAAUGAGGUACAUUUAGAAUUUAUUAGAGCCUGUAGUCCCAGCUACUCGGGAGGCUGAGACAGGAGGAUCAUUUGAGCCCAAGAAUUUGA